rnacentral:rRNA from 1 species
UACGGAGGGUGCAAGCGUUAAUCGGAAUUACUGGGCGUAAAGCGCACGCAGGCGGUCUGUCAAGUCGGAUGUGAAAUCCCCGGGCUCAACCUGGGAACUGCAUUCGAAACUGGCAGGCUAGAGUCUUGUAGAGGGGGGUGGAAUUCCAGGUGUAGCGGUGAAAUGCGUAGAGAUCUGGAGGAAUACCGGUGGCGAAGGCGGCCCCCUGGACAAAGACUGACGCUCAGGUGCGAAAGCGUGGGGAGCAAACAGG